UUACGGGAGGCAGCAGCUAAGAAUCUUCCGCAAUGGGGGAAACCCUGACGGAGCGACGCCGCGUGGAUGAUGAAGGCCGUAAGGUUGUAAAAUCCUUUUGUCGGUGAAGAAUAACAUCAGGAGUGGAAAGCCUGGUGGAUGACGUUAGCCGGCGAAUAAGCCCCGGCCAAUUACGUGCCAGCAGCCGCGGUAAUACGUAUGGGGCAAGCGUUGUUCGGAGUUAUUGGGCGUAAAGGGCGUGUAGGCGGCUCAUCAAGUCUGGUGUGAAAUCGCAAGGCUCAACCUUGCAUAUGCGCUGGAAACUGGUGGGCUUGAGUUCUUGAGGGGAAGCUGGAAUUCCAGGUGUAGGGGUGAAAUCUGUAGAUAUCUGGAAGAACACCGGUGGCGAAGGCGAGCUUCUAUCAGAGGACUGACGCUGAGGCGCGAAAGCGUGGGGAGCAAACAGGAUUAGAUACCCCGGUAGUCC
rnacentral:rRNA from 1 species